rnacentral:rRNA from 1 species
AUUGAACGCUGGCGGCAGGCCUAACACAUGCAAGUCGAGCGGAUGAAGGGAGCUUGCUCCUGGAUUCAGCGGCGGACGGGUGAGUAAUGCCUAGGAAUCUGCCUGGUAGUGGGGGAUAACGUCCGGAAACGGGCGCUAAUACCGCAUACGUCCUGAGGGAGAAAGUGGGGGAUCUUCGGACCUCACGCUAUCAGAUGAGCCUAGGUCGGAUUAGCUAGUUGGUGGGGUAAAGGCCUACCAAGGCGACGAACCGGAACUGGUCUGAGAGGAUGAUCAGUUACACUGGAACUGAGACACGGUCCAGACUCCUACGGGAGGAAGCAGUGGGGAAUAUUGGACGAUGGGCGAAUGCCUGAUCCAGCCAUGCCGCGUGUGUGAAGAAGGUCUUCGGAUUGUAAAGCACUUUAAGUUGGGAGGAAGGGCAGUAAGUUAAUACCUUGCUGUUUUGACGGUACCAACAGAAUAAGCACCGGCUAACUUCGUG